GUAUAUUCCUAUAGCAUAGCAUUAAUGCAUCAAAUCCCAUUAGAACUUCACAGUUAAGCACGCUUGGGCUAGAGUAGUAUUGGGAUGGGUAACCGCCUAGGAAGUCCUAGUAUUUUAUAUG
rnacentral:rRNA from 1 species